rnacentral:rRNA from 1 species
UACGUAGGGUGCGAGCGUUGUCCGGAAUUAUUGGGCGUAAAGGGCUCGUAGGCGGUUUGUCGCGUCGGGAGUGAAAUCCACUGGCUUAACUGGUGGCUUGCUUUUCGAUACGGGCAGACUAGAGUUCGGUAGGGGGAGUCUGGAAUUCCUGGUGUAGCGGUGAAAUGCGCAGAUAUCAGGAGGAACACCGGUGCGAAGGCGG